UUGCCAUAUCAAUAAGCGGAGGAAAAGAAACCAACAGGGAUUGCCCUAGUAACGGCGAGUGAAGCGGCAACAGCUCAAAUUUGAAAUCUGGCGUCUUUGGCGUCCGAGUUGUAAUUUGCAGAGGGCGCUUUGGCAUUGGCAGCGGUCCAAGUUCCUUGGAACAGGACGUCACAGAGGGUGAGAAUCCCGUACGUGGUCGCUAGCCUUUACCGUGUAAAGCCCCUUCGACGAGUCGAGUUGUUUGGGAAUAA
rnacentral:rRNA from 1 species